AAUUUUGAAUUUAUUAACAAAUCAAAUCACUAUAAUUCAACAACCCAACCCAACACAACUCAA
rnacentral:snoRNA from 2 species